CAGCUAGCUUACACACCAAUAUAACCAAAUAAUAUAAAUAAAAUAGAAUAGGCCAAACAUCAAAACUUAAACCAUUCUUUUACCUAAGUAUGGGAGACAGAAAAGGUUCAACCAAAGCGAUAGAAAAAGUACCGCAAGGGAAAGCUGAAAGAGAAAUGAAACAAUCCAUACAAGUACCAAAAAGCAAAGACUAAACCUUGUACCUUUUGCAUCAUGAUUUAGCCAGUAAACACAAGCAAAGAGACCUUUAGUUUGAAACCCCGAAACCAGGUGAGCUACCCCGAGACAGCCUAUUAAGGGCCAACCCGUCUCUGUGGCAAAAGAGUGGGAUGAGCUCCGGGUAGAAGUGACAGACCUACCGAACCUGGUGAUAGCUGGUUGCCUAAGAAAUGGAUAGAAGUUCAGCCUCGUACACCUCAAAUCAAACAAGCACUAAUAAGAUGUCUAGAGAAAAACACGAGAGUUAGUUGAAGGGGGUACAGCCCCUUUAACCAAGGAUACAACCUUAUUAAGAAGGAUAAAGAUCAUAAUAUAUAAAAUAUACUGUUCUAGUGGGCCUAAAGGCAGCCACCUAAACAGAAAGCGUUAAAGCUCAGACAGAAAAAAGUUUAUUAUUCUGAUAAAAAAUCUUAUUCCCCUAAAUACUAUUAGGCUAAUCCAUGCCCCCAUGGAAGAAAUUAUGCUAAAAUGAGUAACAAGAGGGCCCGCCCCUCUCCAAGCACAAGUGUAAGCCAAACCGGACCAACCAUUGGCAACUAACGAACUCAACCCAAGAGAGCAGUGUGAACUAUAAAAAGACCAAGAAAACCCCACAACUCAAUAAUCGUUAACCCCACACUGGAGUGCUAUUAAAGGAAAGACUAAAAGAAAAGGAAGGAACUCGGCAAACACAAGCCUCGCCUGUUUACCAAAAACAUCGCCUCCUGCAACGCAGCCAUGUAUAGGAGGUCCAGCCUGCCCAGUGACUACAAGUUCAACGGCCGCGGUAUUUUGACCGUGCAAAGGUAGCGCAAUCACUUGUCUUUUAAAUAGAGACCUGUAUGAAUGGCUAAACGAGGGCUUAACUGUCUCCCCUUUCAAGUCAGUGAAAUUGAUCUGCCCGUGCAGAAGCG
rnacentral:rRNA from 1 species